ACAGGCCACAUACUUUUUUCUAAGUCCAUUUUGCCAUAAAAAGGAUUGUUUCUCUCAUCACUGAAGGAAAUGAUUAUCCCAUUGGGAAAAAAGGGAGAAGGGGUGAGCCAGAGGAUGAAUCACUGUACCUAAGAUCUUAAAUCUGCAUUUUCUUGAAUAAGACAGCUAGACAGCCUAAAUAAUCUGAUUUCACUUAGAAUCUUUAUUAAUGUCCUGUUCUCACACUUCCUCUGUCAUGGUAAACCUGCUCAGUAGGCAUUGUUUCGCCAACUUUGGGGGAGCAAUUUAUUUGGCCAGUGUGUGUAUAUACACAGAAUUUGAGAUCAGACCCUGGUUCAUUUACAACAAUUUUACAACUUUAA